rnacentral:rRNA from 1 species
GACGAACGCUGGCGGCGUGCUUAACACAUGCAAGUCGAACGGAAAGGCCCUGCUUUUGUGGGGUGCUCGAGUGGCGAACGGGUGAGUAACACGUGAGUAACCUGCCCUUGACUUUGGGAUAACUUCAGGAAACUGGGGCUAAUACCGGAUAGGAGCUCCUGCUGCAUGGUGGGGGUUGGAAAGUUUCGGCGGUUGGGGAUGGACUCGCGGCUUAUCAGCUUGUUGGUGGGGUAGUGGCUUACCAAGGCUUUGACGGGUAGCCGGCCUGAGAGGGUGACCGGCCACAUGAGGACUAAGAUACGGCCCAGACUCCUACGGGAGGCAGCAGUGGGGAAUAUUGCACAAUGGGCGGAAGCCUGAUGCAGCAACGCCGCGUGCGGGAUGACGGCCUUCGGGUUGUAAACCGCUUUCGCCUGUGACGAAGCGUGAGUGACGGUAAUGGGUAAAGAAGCACCGGCUAACUACGUG